AAUUUUCAAUUUUGUUUGCCGUAAUUUAUCGCUUACUGUAAGAAUAAACGAACAAAAAUAAGAAACAAAAACAAUACGCAUUACGAAUUGUGUGCUUCUCUCUAUAAACGUUGUUUUCUUCUCUUUUCCUCUCUGCUCUCUUUUCUUCGUCUCAUGCAGGUAUUUUUUGAUUUGAUGCGCGAAAUAAGAUCCCGCAAAACCGAAGAUUCAAAAGCGACUAGUGGGCGUGCUAAAGACAGAUGCAAGAAGCGGAGACUUAAGUGUACACUACUUUAGGCGUAUUUCUAGGUGCAUAAGCCAGACUUUAAGCCAAUAAUAAAAAAAAAUUAAACAAACAAAAAAAAAAAAAACAGAAAAAUGCGAAAACAAAAACAAAUACACUCAUAAACAAAUACAAUGGUAAAGAAGCGAACAAAGCAAAAUAAAAGCCCCUAACUCGUACUUUCCCCAUCCACAAAGACAUCACAUCGAAUUGAUAACAAUACCUAGCUGAUAUACAUAUGAAAUGUGUAACUACAGAAAUCCUAACCGAAAUAUGUACUGAGAAAAUCGUUUGUAGUAUUUUAUGAUCUAAUCAGGGAUAUUUCAUCACGAAAGAAGCAACGUCAGUCCGAUGUGCGACAGCCGCCAAAAACCAAAUCUCACUGCUGCCAACUGCUCUAAUAAUCAUGAGAGAGAAAUAAAAUCAAAACUGAAAAUUACAAAAAUGUAACGACGCCGCUGAAUACAAGCUAUAAAUGCCGAUAAUAACUAUGAAAAUGACGACGAAUGUAUAAAAAAAAAACAAUACUAUAUACAAAAAACUACAGUCCUGCAGGAAGAGAAAGAAGAACUUUUGAAAAAAAAAACGAAGAUAAAAAUGCUAUGCGAAAUAUGCGCGAGCGCAUCGCGGACAAGCUGUUGCAUAGAAAAGCAAAAACAACUCAAUUUAUGCAUAGAUUUGUAAAAAAAGAAACUCUGAAGCACAUAUAUGUACAUGCGACUGUAUUUGUAGGAGAAAAAGCAAUUACAUAUAAACCCAAUUCACGCAUUGUAUUGUAUUGCAUUCAAAAUAAGAAAAAAAUGAAGAAACAACCAAAAUAUACUACAUACUUACAUAAACCUUGCAGACUUUAUUAAUCAUAUACCUAUAUAUACAGCAUAUGUAUUAUUAAAAAAACAAGCGCAUACAUACAUACAUACAUACAUACAUGCUUACUUACUUACAUCCGUACAUACCAAUUUCAAAUCAAUCUACAUAAGUUUCAAUUUGUAUUGUAAAUUAAGCUUAAGCCGAACACAAUAUGUUUUAUAGACAUAGUACAUACAUGCCUAUGUUUUACGUGUAUUGUGUACAGAAAUAAACUGCUCUUUUCAAUUGUAAAAAAAA